rnacentral:rRNA from 1 species
CAUGCUGGCGAUGUGGAUAGGGCAUGCAUGUCAGGGGCCGCAUGCACCGGCAGACGACUGUCAGUAACACGUAAGAACGUACCCCAGAGUCUGGCAUAGCUCGUCGAAAGACGGGGUAAUUCCGGAUGGUCUCGAAAGAGUAAAGGUUUUUCGCUCUGGGAACGGCUUGCGCAAUAUCAGCUUGUUGGUGAGGUAAUGGCUCACCAAGGCUACGACGUUUAGGGGGGGUGAGAGCCUGUUCCCCACCGAGUGGACUGAGACACGGCCACUACUCCUACGGGAGGCUGCAGUCGAGAAUAUUCCGCAAUGGGCGAAAGCCUGACGGAGCGACAUCGCGUGAUGGAUGAAGUGGUUCGCCACGUAAACAUCUUUUAUGAGGGAAGAAAUUAUUGACGGUACCUCAUGAAUAAGGGGCUCCUAACUCUGUGCCAGCAGGAGCGGUAAUACAGAGGCCCCAAGCAUUAUCCGGAAUCACUGGGCGUAAAGGGUGUCAAGGCGGCUAUAUUAGUCGUUCGUAAAAUCUACGAGCUUAAAU